GAUGAACGCUGGCGGCGUGCUUAACACAUGCAAGUCGAACGGAAAGGCCAGUGCUUGCACUGGUACUCGAGUGGCGAACGGGUGAGUAACACGUGGGUGAUCUGCCCUGCACUUCGGGAUAAGCCUGGGAAACUGGGUCUAAUACCGGAUAGGACAAUGGUUUGGAUGCCGUUGUGGAAAGUUUUUUCGGUGUGGGAUGAGCUCGCGGCCUAUCAGCUUGUUGGUGGGGUAAUGGCCUACCAAGGCGUCGACGGGUAGCCGGCCUGAGAGGGUGUACGGCCACAUUGGGAGUGAGAUACGGCCCAGAGUCCUACGGGGGGGAGCAGUGGGGAAUAUUGCACAAUGGGCGCAAGCCUGAGGCAGCGACGCCGCGUGGGGGAUGACGGCCUUCGGGUUGUAAACUCCUUUCGCUAGGGACGAAGCGUAUUUGUGACGGUACCUGGAGAAGAAGCACCGGCUAACUACGUG
rnacentral:rRNA from 1 species